GUUUUCAAAGCAACUAUGGUUGUUUUAGUUACAGAGGGGAGAGUCACAAAUUUCUGUGAGUAUGUCAUUUCUCAUAUCUUAAGUCCAGGCACCACACCCUCAGGGUAAUUGUUUUCUCUUAAUCAUAUCACAAUCAACCUUUUAUCAGUUGAAGGUAGACACAAAUCUAAUCGUUUUUUGUAUAAAAUUGUCAGAAAUAUGAGGCUAUAUAUCGUUAAUUAUGCACCUAUUUUAUAUAGUGCAAAUACAUUUUUCUGGACACUGGAUGAAGUCAGUCUAAAUAUUUUGGUUUCAUUUUGUUAAGACACUCCAGGAGGACUGGAGAGCAGAUUGUGGAUAAAUAUAUUUAUGGUUCUGUUUAUCGGGUCAAUUUAUUGGCAAUUUAUCGAGAUAUGGGUUUUUAUCAAUAUCGCCAAGCUCUAUUCUCAUCUCUCCCCAGGUGCAGAUAGGGAGUUACAGACAGUGCGACAGCUGAUGGUCAACUUCCUCCAGAACCACACAAGACAGGACUGGCCUGUCAGCUGCCCUCCACUUGAGCCUUACAGCUCUGCAGAUAUAUUGCCUUUGAUUGGUCAGAAAUCCAACCAAUACACAGCUGUCAUUGUUGAGAACGAGGACUCCUAUGUUGGCAGAGAGGUUAUCUUGGACCUGAUGAUGUAUCAGGGGGCUAACAGUGAAGAGGGCAUUGAGUUCAGAAAAGAGCCUCACAGAGAAGCUUGGCAUCAACUCUUUCCCCUCAGCAUACCUUCUCCACCCUAAUGGAACACAUGCCAUUCUGCAUGUGCAGAAAAGACUGCGCUUCUUCUUCUCCUCGUUCCUCAAGCUUCUCCUAGGGGUCCACAGAAAGCUGAGCACCUCUGGAGCACCCAGAAGCCCCUACUGGAGGGACCACGAGGUCCCGGGACGGCUGAGGCCUUGAAGGACUUUGAGAAGUCCAAGGUGUACAUGGCGGACCUUGAGUCAGGGUUGCACUACCUGCUGAGAGUAGAGCUGGCUACCCACCAAACCCUGGAGGGAGAAGAGCUCAAGACCUUCAAAGACUUUGUGACAGUGGUUGCUAAGCUCUUCCCUGGUCGCCAGUCUGUGGUAAAACUCUUAGAGACUCUUCUGGAAUGGCUGGUCAGUCUUCCCCCUG